rnacentral:rRNA from 1 species
AGAUACGGCCCAAACUCCUACGGGAGGCAGCAGCUAAGAAUCUUCCGCAAUGGACGAAAGUCUGACGGAGCGACGCCGUGUGAAUGAAGAAGGCCGAAAGGUUGUAAAAUUACUUUUGACAGUAUGAAGAAUAAGAAGAAGAGGGAAUGCUUCUUUGAUGACGGUAGUCAUGCGAAUAAGCCCCGGCUAAUUACGUGCCAGCAGCCGCGGUAA